UACGUAGGGGGCGAGCGUUGUCCGGAAUCAUUGGGCGUAAAGCGCGUGUAGGCGGUCCGGUAAGUCCGCUGUGAAAGUCGGGGGCUCAACCCUCGGAUGCCGGUGGAUACUGUCGGGCUUGAGUACGGAAGAGGCGAGUGGAAUUCCUGGUGUAGCGGUGAAAUGCGCAGAUAUCAGGAGGAACACCAAUUGCGAAGGCAGCUCGCUGGGACGUUACUGACGCUCAUGCACGAAAGCGUGGGGAGCAAACAGG
rnacentral:rRNA from 1 species